rnacentral:rRNA from 1 species
AACGAAUGCUGGCGGCAGGCCUAACACAUGCAAGUCGAGCGAGGACUUCGGUCCUAGCGGCGGACGGGUGAGUAACGCGUGGGAACGUGCCCUUUGCUUCGGAAUAGCCCUGGGAAACUGGGAGUAAUACCGGAUGAGCCCUUUGGGGGAAAGAUUUAUCGGCGAAGGAUCGGCCCGCGUUGGAUUAGGUAGUUGGUGGGGUAAUGGCCUACCAAGCCGACGAUCCAUAGCUGGUUUGAGAGGAUGAUCAGCCACACUGGGACUGAGACACGGCCCAGACUCCUACGGGAGGCAGCAGUGGGGAAUCUUAGACAAUGAGGGAAACCCUGAUCUAGCCAUGCCGCGUGAGCGAUGAAGGCCUUAGGGUUGUAAAGCUCUUUCAGCUGGGAAGAUAAUGACGGUACCAGCAGAAGAAGCCCCGGCUAACUCCGUG